rnacentral:rRNA from 1 species
UACGGGGGGGGCAAGCGUUGUUCGGAAUUACUGGGCGUAAAGGGCUCGUAGGUGGCCAACUAAGUCAGACGUGAAAUCCCUCGGCUUAACCGGGGAACUGCGUCUGAUACUGGAUGGCUAGAGUUUGGGAGAGGGAUGCGGAAUUCCAGGUGUAGCGGUGAAAUGCGUAGAUAUCUGGAGGAACACCGGUGGCGAAGGCGGCAUCCUGGACCAACACUGACGCUGAGGAGCGAAGGCCAGGGGAGCGAACGGG